UUUAAUAUGCUAUUCCUUUUGUUAAAUGAUGUCCCUAGACUGUAGGAAAAGGGCCUGUUCUCAUAGAGUACAGAAUAUACAUUACUCAUUUAAACAUCUGAUACUUAUGGGCAGAAAAGAAUUCAAGGUCCAGCUAUUCUGUGACACUUAUCUCUUAGGAACACAAACAAUGACUGCUGCCAAAGUUCAGUGUUGACUGUUCAGCACAACUGAGUUUCUGUGAUGUCAGAUUGGCAGGUCACACGGCAGACCCCACCAGGACUCUGCCCUAACUGCCUUCCUCAUCCAGGUCAGAAAAACUCCUACGUGAGCUGGAACAGUCCACAGCUCAGGAUGAGAGCCUCCUGCCCACAGAGCUGCUGCUACAGCAGGAGCAUUAAGUGUCAUCAGCAACAUCCUUUACAAGAACUGAGGAGGUUGAAGGAAGCCAUACUCAACCAGAAAGCCCGACAUUCUCCACUCUACAGUCAAGGCCUCCUCAGAACAAGACAUGUACUUCUAGCUGUAGAAUCACAAAGAGGAAAAUAUCAACCACCUUGCAAGUGGUCCAUCCAUAAUCUAAUUCAUGUGUCUCUCUAGUUAUGGAGUAAGGAAACCAUCAGGAAGACACUUGAGA